CAGAGGGGGCGAGCGUUAUUCGGAAUUAUUGGGCGUAAAGGGCGCGUAGGCGGCUUGGCAAGUGGAAGGUGAAAUCCCUCGGCCUAACCGAGGAACUGCCCUCCAAACUGCUUUGCUUGAAGCCGGGAGAGGUGAGUGGAAUUCCCAGUGUAGCGGUGAAAUGCGUAGAUAUUGGGAGGAACACCAGUGGCGAAGGCGGCUCACUGGACCGGUUCUGACGCUGAUGCGCGAAAGCGUGGGGAGCAAACGGGAUUAGAUACCCCGGUAGUCCACGCCGUAAACGAUGAGUGCUUGGUGUAGCGGGUAUCGACCCCUGCUGUGCCGAAGUCAACACAUUAAGCACUCCGCCUGGGGAGUACGGUCGCAAGGCUG
rnacentral:rRNA from 1 species